rnacentral:rRNA from 1 species
AUGAACGAAACCAACAGAGACGGGAUCGCACACGGCUCCUGGACCCAAAAAAAAAAAACAGGGGAGGCACGGCGAAUCCAAGCCAAUUCCGGCUCCCAGCUCCGCAACCUCUUUUGCUCCCUCCUGCCCUCCCCGAUGCCGUCGCCCUCGCUCCGACUCGCUGUCGUCGGCGCGGGCGCGGCCGGCCUGGCGGCGGCACGGGAGCUCCGCCGCGAGGGCCACGCCCCCGUCGUCUUCGAGCGCGCCGCAGCCGUGGGGGGCACCUGGCUCUACGCCUCCCCCGCCCCCGCCGCCGCCACCGACCCGCUCGGCGCCGCCGCCACCCACUCCAGCCUCUACGCUUCACUCCGCACCAACCUCCCCCGCGAGGUCAUGGGCUUCCUCGACUUCCCCUUCACCGCGGCGCGCGGCUCCGUCGUCGACGCGCGCAGGUUCCCCGGCCACGAGGAGGUGCUUCGGUACCUCGAGGACUUCGCGCAGCGGUUCGACCUUUACCGGCUCGUCCGGUUCCAGACAGAGGUGGUUGGAGUCCGGAGGGAGGCCGGCGGGAGGUGGGCGGUGACGUCGAGGAAGCUCGGGGAGAAGGGGGAGCAGGACGAGGAGGUGUAUGACGCCGUCGUGGUUUGCAAUGGGCAUUAUUCAGAGCCUCGCGUCGCCUCCAUACCUGAAAAUCUGUACUUUCCAACAUUGACAGGUGCAGAUGCCUGGCCCGGAAAGCAGAUGCAUAGCCACAAUUACCGUGUGCCUGAGCCAUUCCUUGAUCAAGUAGUGAUCGUUAUUGGGGCCUCGGCAAGUGCAGUUGACAUUUCGAGGGACAUUGCAUGCGUUGCGAAGGAGGUCCAUAUUGCCGAUAGAUCAACGCCGACUUCCACUUGUGAACAGCAGCCUGAAUACGACAACAUGUGGCUUCACUCCAUGAUUGACCAUGCACAGGGAGAUGGCACUGUGGUGUUCCGAGAUGGCAGCUCAAUCAAAGCGGAUGUCAUCAUGCACUGUACUGGCUACCUGUAUGACUUCCCGUUUCUUGGGGAUGAUAGCACCAUCACUGUGGAUGACAACUGCGUUGAUCCAUUAUACAAGCAUGUUUUCCCUAUUGAAGUGGCUCCUGAACUGUCUUUCAUCGGAUUGCCGUGGAAGGUUAUCCCUUUUCCACUGUUUGAACUCCAAAGCAAAUGGGUCGCUGGUAUUCUAUCAGGACGGAUCAAGCUUCCAUCGAAAGAUGAAAUGAUGGAAGAUGUCAAAGCCAUCUACUCGAGACUGGAAACUCGUGGAUGGCCCAAGAGAUAUACCCACAACUUCAGUGGUGGUUAUCAGUUCGAAUACAAUGACUGGCUCGCGGAGCAAUGUGGCCAUCCACCUAUUGAAGAAUGGAGGAAGCUGAUGUAUGCUGCUAAUGCAAAGAAUAAGGCUGCUCGUCCGGAAAGAUAUCGCGAUGAGUGGGAUGAUGAUGGUCUGGUGGCACUAGCAAAUGAGGACUUCAAAAAAUACUUCUAA